UUCUGGUUGAUCCUGCCAGAGGUCACUGCUAUCGGGGUUCGAUUAAGCCAUGCGAGUCGAGAGGGUUCGGCCCUCGGCGUACUGCUCAGUAACACGUGGAUAACCUGCCCUAGGGAAGGGGAUAACCCCGGGAACUGGGGAUAAUACCCUAUAGGUUACAGAUGCUGGAAUGCUCUGUAACCCAAAGUUCCGGCGCCCUAGGAUGGAUCUGCGGCCGAUUAGGUUGUUGUUGGGGUAAUGGCCCAACAAGCCAGUAAUCGGUACGGGUUGUGGGAGCAAGAGCCCGGAGUUGGAUUCUGAGACACGAAUCCAGGCCCUACGGGG
rnacentral:rRNA from 1 species